GUUGGGUAGGGGAGCGUUCUGUAAGCCUGUGAAGGUGUGUCGUGAGGCAUGCUGGAGGUAUCAGAAGUGCGAAUGCUGACAUAAGUAACGAUAAAGCGGGUGAAAAGCCCGCUCGCCGGAAGACCAAGGGUUCCUGUCCAACGUUAAUCGGGGCAGGGUGAGUCGACCCCUAAGGCGAGGCCGAAAGGCGUAGUCGAUGGGAAACGGGUUAAUAUUCCCGUACUUGGUGUUACUGCGAAGGGGGGACGGAGAAGGCUAUGUUGGCCGGGCGACGGUUGUCCCGGUUUAAGCGUGUAGGUGUGUGUUCCAGGUAAAUCCGGUUCACUUUAACACUGAGGCGUGACGACGAGGCACUACGGUGCUGAAGCAACAAAUGCCCUGCUUCCAGGAAAAGCCUCUAAGCAUCAGGUAACAUCAAAUCGUACCCCAAACCGACACAGGUGGUCAGGUAGAGAAUACCAAGGCGCUUGAGAGAACUCGGGUGAAGGAACUAGGCAAAAUGGUGCCGUAACUUCGGGAGAAGGCACGCUGACACGUAGGUGAAGUGAUUUACUCAUGGAGCUGAAGUCAGUCGAAGAUACCAGCUGGCUGCAACUGUUUAUUAAAAACACAGCACUGUGCAAACACGAAAGUGGACGUAUACGGUGUGACGCCUGCCCGGUGCCGGAAGGUUAAUUGAUGGGGUCAGCGCAAGCGAAGCUCCUGAUCGAAGCCCCGGUAAACGGCGGCCGUAACUAUAACGGUCCUAAGGUAGCGAAAUUCCUUGUCGGGUAAGUUCCGACCUGCACGAAUGGCGUAAUGAUGGCCAGGCUGUCUCCACCCGAGACUCAGUGAAAUUGAACUCGCUGUGAAGAUGCAGUGUACCCGCGGCAAGACGGAAAGACCCCGUGAACCUUUACUAUAGCUUGACACUGAACAUUGAGCCUUGAUGUGUAGGAUAGGUGGGAGGCUUUGAAGUGUGGACGCCAGUCUGCAUGGAGCCGACCUUGAAAUACCACCCUUUAAUGUUUGAUGUUCUAACGUGGACCCGUGAUCCGGGUUGCGGACAGUGUCUGGUGGGUAGUUUGACUGGGGCGGUCUCCUCCUAAAGAGUAACGGAGGAGCACGAAGGUUGGCUAAUCCUGGUCGGACAUCAGGAGGUUAGUGCAAUGGCAUAAGCCAGCUUGACUGCGAGCGUGACGGCGCGAGCAGGUGCGAAAGCAGGUCAUAGUGAUCCGGUGGUUCUGAAUGGAAGGGCCAUCGCUCAACGGAUAAAAGGUACUCCGGGGAUAACAGGCUGAUACCGCCCAAGAGUUCAUAUCGACGGCGGUGUUUGGCACCUCGAUGUCGGCUCAUCACAUCCUGGGGCUGAAGUAGGUCCCAAGGGUAUGGCUGUUCGCCAUUUAAAGUGGUACGCGAGCUGGGUUUAGAACGUCGUG
rnacentral:rRNA from 1 species